GCCAGACUCCUACGGGAGGCAGCAGUGAGGAAUAUUGGUCAAUGGGCGGGAGCCUGAACCAGCCAAGCCGCGUGAGGGAAGAAGGUACAGCGUAUCGUAAACCUCUUUUGUCAGGGAACAAAGGCGGGGACUAGUCCCCGGAUGAGGGUACCUGAAGAAAAAGCAUCGGCUAACUCCGUGCCAGCAGCCGCGGUAAUACGGAGGAUGCGAGCGUUAUCCGGAUUUAUUGGGUUUAAAGGGUGCGCAGGCGGCCUUUUAAGUAGGGGGUAAAAGCCGGGGGCCAAACCCCGGCGAGCCGUUGAAACUGGCUGUCUUGAGAUGUCGAGAGGUAUGCGGAAUGCGCAGUGUAGCGGUGAAAUGCUUAGAUAUUGCGCAGAACUCCGAUUGCGAAGGCAGCGUACCGGCGGCGAUCUGACGCUGAGGCACGAAAGCGUGGGUAUCGAACAGGAUUAGAUACCCCAGUAC
rnacentral:rRNA from 1 species